ensembl:lncRNA MIR3976HG MIR3976 host gene
CUUUCUGAUUGAGUGUAAGCUGCUAUAUGAAGGGAUCCACAAGACGAAUAAUUAAGGGGGACCUCUGAUCAACAGCCAGCAAGGAACUGAAUCCCUCAGACCCACAACUCACAAGAAACUGAAGCUGAAGCAGAUUCUUCCUCAGUCAAGCUUCAGGUGCCCAGCUGUAUUGGUAGAGGAGACCAACCACACCCUCCACAGCACAGCACCUGGAGAGGAACUGCUGCCAUGACCAUAGAGGACACCCUCUGGAUACAAUGCCAGACUUGAUGUGGGACUGACCAACCUAUGGACCCCAGGCACCACCACCCAGACCUGCUCAGCACCUGAAAGUAAGUCCUACCCUUCUGAAGGAAACUCUAGGGUGGCAGCAUGAACUUCUCUGCCUCAGAGGACAAUAGGGAAAGUGAUGUCCUCCAGGAAGCACAGAGAAGUACUGGGAUGAGAGAACAGAGACGAUCUACAAGGAUGAGAUCAGCAUUCACAGCCGUGGAGAGAGAACUGUUCACUGCUACCAUCCACACUUCUGGGCCCCUUCAGCAGCAGGGUGACAAGGAAGAGGGAAAUCGACUUGGAAAAGAGGGGACCUCUGACCCAAGAGUUCGGUCAAUGCAUAUGUUGGCAGCCAGCUGCACAUCGCACCAAAUAUGAACUUCAAAUAGAAGAAAGCCUCAUUUGGAAGAAAGCUCAUGCACAGACUGUAAAUAUUUCAGAGCAGAUUGUGUCUCUGUAGAUUAAUAACCAAAAAAUAGAAGAUUCAGAAGAACUAGCAAAUGUGGAGAGAACGGAUGAAAUGGAAGCAGUGUGAACCUAGUGAAUACUUGCCAAGCUGUAUCUCCCCUGAAUUUGUCAAAACAUCAUCUCCAGCAUCUGAGCUAGACCAACCCUCAGUGCUAACAUUGAUGUGAUUAAAGAGUCUGAACUGGGAGCAGAAUUC